CUGCCCGGCAGUGCUUCUCCUCCUGGUGAGCCUCCCUUGUGUUUGGGGACCCAGUCUCAUCCCACCUUCCCCUUUCCCCAGGCAAGCUAACAAGUGAGCCUUGGGGCAACGGACUGAGAGUCACAAAUGACCUAGCAGAGCUUCUCUCCCAGCCAUAUGCCUCUCACGGGCUAUGAGGUAUGGUUGGGCACCCUGUUCCAGAACCCACAACAUGGAGAGCCAGGCCUACAGCGGGUCCCAGUAGCCAAGAUGCUGUGUGGGCCCUCAGGCUCUCAGCUUGUCCUGCUCAAGCUGGAGAGGUAUGUGGACAACCUGGGAGGGUGUGAGGUGGGGCUGAGCCUUGUGGCCUCAGACCCUGAGUGCCCCCAUUCUUGCUAAAGAUCUGUGACCCUGAACCAGCGUGUGGCCCUGAUCUGCCUGCCGCCUGAAUGAUAUGUGGUGCCUCCAGGGACCAAGUGUGAGAUUGCAGGCCGGGGUGAGACCAAAGGUAAGAGCAUAGUGCACAGGACUGCUGGUGGCCAGGAGGCCCAGCCCUGGAUCUUCCUCCAGGACCGUCUCCUUCUCCCCAUUCCCCUCACUGCAGGUACGGGUAAUGACACAGUCCUAAAUGUGGCCUUGCUGAAUGUCAUCUCCAACCAGGAGUGUAACAUCAAGCACCGAGGACAUGUGCGGGAGAGCGAGAUGUGCACUGAGGGACUGUUGGCCCCUGUGGGGGCCUGUGAGGGUGACUACGGGGGCCCACUUGCCUGCUUUACCCACAACUGCUGGGUCCUGAAAGGAAUUAGAAUCCCCAACCGAGUAUGCGCAAGGUCGCGCUGGCCAGCCGUCUUCACGCGUGUCUCUGUGUUUGUGGACUGGAUUCACAAGGUCAUGAGACUGGGUUAGGCCCAGCCUUGACGCCAUAUGCUUUGGGGAGGACAAAACUUGUAAGUACAGUCAAGGACAAGACUUGUACUCAAGGCUGAGA
rnacentral:lncRNA from 1 species